UCUUGCAGAUCAGUAGAGGGUUCCUUUUUCUCAACUUCAUCAUUCUGGUCAUUAGAGGCUAACAUCACCGUUGGCUGCAUAGUAGAGGGUUCCAUCUAUUGUUCCUUUCCUCGGUUGUUGAGACAUGAGAGGAGAGAUGAAACCUAGCUCCUUGAGGCUCGAGUCCAGGAUUACUUUUUUU